rnacentral:misc_RNA from 1 species
CCUUCUCUACAAGAAGGCAAUGCAUAUUCACAAGGUGUGCUGAUCCCCAGUCGUGCUCGUCUUUUGUACCAUCACAGCUUAAGAGGAUGCAACAUAGUGCUUUUGUACACACUCCGCAGCGUUCUGGAUGAGACGUCUCUUAUAGGCGCCAGCAGUCUGAAAGGGUCUUCUUGCGCACGCGGGCAUCUGUGCGAAGCAGCGUACCAGUUCAGCAACUGUGCGAACGUCGAGUGCUGAGAUGCUUGGCUUGUAUGUGUGCGUGCGGAACCUAUUUCUGGCUCACCCUGCGUCCUGUGAGGGUGUUCCUCGACUGAAAAUGACUACAUCUUCAUCGAUGUUAACAAUAUCGCGGCAAUCGGGCGACCAAGGGGAAGACGCAACUGUCGUCCCGCUCUAAGUGCGGAGAAGAGGGCGCAUUGGCUUCGCAAAGUACUCGACAACACUGACCACCUUGUAUCAUGUUCAACGGCUCCACGGAGAAGAACCGAAACUUUCCUGAAGCUCUGUUGAUUCUUGUAGCUCCCUCUUAACAGUGGCCGACAUUUAUAAAAUCCACAUUCUUGUAUUCCCUCACGUUCUGUGCUGAUGUAGACGCACGGGACAGCAACGAUGAUGUAACUCUGCUUGUAAGCAAGAGGGUCGCUGACACGUUUUGGAAAGAGGAUACCCUCUUGCAUCGGCUGUGGUACCUUCUGUGUGUGUGCGUGUGUAUGUCUGUUUGAGUGAUUAGGAGAGCCACCACAUGUACUAUGGUAGAAGUUCUCAUACGCUUCUUCUCCCACUCCUUAGUGAGCACAAAGAGCACAUGGCUCCAUUUUAAGGGGGGGGGGGAGUAAAUAGCGUUCUUUUGCGUUUCUCCUCUGGGUGCCACCCGCUGCAAGCUGUGCGGAAGAGAAUGGCAGACACUGCCUCAUGCCACUUAUCUCACUGAUGCACUUGAUUGUAUCGGGCAGCACGAUUGCUUUGCUCUCCUCUUUCCUCUACAUGUUUCACUCACUCUUUUUUUUUCACACGCACGUGCUCACACUCCCCUUGGACAAGCGUUUUCCUCUUGUAACUCUGCCCCUUCACCGUCUUUGGCCAGCAUUUUUGGACUUCAUAUAAAUACACUCUGCUUUCGUUUGCACGCGCCGACUUGGUAGGCCCUCACAACUGAUUACGAUGCUCUCCCUAACCACCAUGGUUGAUGAGACUCACAGUAGCCGUCUCGGCACUGAAGACCCCAG